UACGGAGAGGUCUCAAGCGUUGUUCGGAAUUACAUGGGCGUAAAGGGCGCGUAGGCGGCCUUCUAAGUCGGACGUGAAAUCCCCUCGGCGUUAAACCCGAGGAACUGCGUCCGAUACUGAAAGGCUUGAAUCCGGGAGAGGGAUGUGGAAUUCCAGGUGUAGCGGUGAAAUGCGUAGAUAUCUGGAGGAACACCGGUGGCGAAGGCGGGUCUCUGGGCCGAUGAUUGGACGCUGAGGAGCGAAAGCGUGGGGAGCAA
rnacentral:rRNA from 1 species